rnacentral:rRNA from 1 species
AGUGAACGCUGGCGGUAGGCCUAACACAUGCAAGUCGAACGGCAGCACAGUAAGAGCUUGCUCUUACGGGUGGCGAGUGGCGGACGGGCGAGGAAUACAUCGGACUCUACUUUUUCGUGGGGGAUAACGUAGGGAAACUUACGCUAAUACCGCAUACGACCUACGGGUGAAAGCAGGGGAUCUUCGGACCUUGCGCGUUUGAAUGAGCCGAUGUCGGAUUAGCUAGUUGGCGGGGUAAAGGCCCACCAAGGCGACGAUCCGUAGCUGGUCUGAGAGGAUGAUCAGCCACACUGGAACUGAGACACGGUCCAGACUCCUACGGGAGGCAGCAGUGGGGAAUAUUGGACAAUGGGCGCAAGCCUGAUCCAGCCAUACUGCGUGGGUGAAGAAGGCCUUCGGGUUGUAAAGCCCUUUUGUUGGGAAAGAAAGGCAGCAGGUUAAUACCCCGCUGUUCUGACGGUACCCAAAGAAUAAGCACCGGCUAACUUCGUG